CGUCUGGAUCUGUAGGCGGCGAGGCCGGCAGCUGGAGGAAAGGUAUAAAAGUCUUCAGAGAGAGAGACUAUUUCCUUCCCUGACCAAAACUCUGAGAGAAGAGGCUGUGUAUAAAUUCUGAGUCUCGCUCUGUC